AUGAACACGGUACGGGUAUUGGUCUCGUGUGCUGCAAACUUUGGGUGGAAAUUGCACCAGUUAGAUGUCAAGAAUGCCUUCUUACAUGGUGACUUGAAAGAAGAGGUAUACAUGGAGAUACCGCCAGGUUUUGGCACAGAACAGACUACGGGGAAGGUAUGCAGGCUGAAGAAAUCCUUGUAUGGUCUGAAGCAAUCGCCGAGGGCAUGGUUUGAUAGGUUCAGACGAGCUGUUUGGAAUAUGGGGUAUGGCCAAUGUAAUGGUGACCACACGGUGUUUUAUAGACACACUAAUAAGAAGAUCACCAUUGUUGCAGUGUAUGUUGAUGAUAUCAUCAUCACUGGAGAUGAUGAGGAGGAAAUAAAGAGAGUGAAGGGGUGUCUGAGCAAGGAGUUUGAGGUAAAAGACUUAGGAAAUCUAAAGUACUUCCUUGGCAUAGAAGUGGCCCGGACAGAGAAGGGAAUAUCUUUGUGCGAACGAAAAUACACCUUGGAUCUUUUGAGUGACAUGGGCAUGAUGGGAUGUCGUGCAGCCCCUACUCCAAUUGAACAAAAUCAUCAAGUAACAGCACAAUCAGGUGAGCUAGUGAAUAAGGAAGAUUAUCAGAAGCUGGUUGGGAGGUUGUUGUACUUGUGUCAUACUAGGCCUGACAUUACGUAUGCCGUGGGGGUGGUGAGCAGAUACAUGCAUGAAUCAAGGAGAGGGCAUCUUGAUAUUGUUCACAGAAUCCUGAGAUACUUGAAGGGGACUCCGGGUAAAGGGUUGUGGUUUGCGAAGAGUGGACAUCUUGAAGUGGAUGGCUAUAGUGACUCUGAUUGGGCUAGCUGUCAAGAUGAUAGACGAUCAACUUCAGGUUACUGUGUGUUUGUGGGAGGAAAUUUGGUGUCAUGGAGAAGCAAGAAACAGAAUGUUGUGUCUAGAUCAACAGCAGAAGCUGAAUAUAGAGCAUUAUCUCAAGGGUUGUGUGAUAUGCUCUGGGUGAAGCACCUACUAUGCGAGUUGAAACUCUUGAGGAAGGGACCCUUAAGGGUGUGGUGUGACAAUCAGUCAGCUAUAGCCAUUGCUAAUAACCCAGUUCAACAUGAUAGGACGAAGCAUGUGGAAAUUGAUCGCUUCUUCAUUAAAGAGAAACUUGAUGCUGGGAUCAUCAGCCUUACUCAUGUCAGCUCUGGGCAGCAGUUUGCAGAUUGCUUGACAAAGGGACUGGGAACAAAGGACUGUAACUUGGCGUGUGACAAGAUGGGNNNNNNNNNNCGUCAUGUUCUUGAGGUUGCUCGGUCGUUGAUGUUUACCAUGAAUGUGCCUAAGUUCUUGUGGGAUGAUGCAGUUAUGACAGCCACAUACUUGAUCAACCGAACACCUUCCAGGAUACUUGGCAUGAAAUCUCCGUCUGAGUUGAUCAUUGGAGAUAAUAAGUUUGUUGUUCCCCCAAAGUUGUUUGGCAGUACCUGCUUUGUUCGUGAUCACCGACCAUCUGUUGGCAAGCUUGAUCCUCGGGCAGUGAAGUGUGUCUUUCUGGGAUAUUCGUCUAGUCAGCAGGGGUAUAAAUGUUGGUGUCCCUCUGAAAAACGCAGGUUUGUAAGUAUGGACGUUACAUUCAGGGAGUCUGAGCCAUUCUAUGGUGAGCCGACUGAUCUCAGUCUGUUGUUUGCAGAGCUUGACCACCUACACCCUGUGCAUGAUGGUCAAGAGGGGGAGAAGGAUGUGUCUCAUACUCACGGUGAUCCUGUGGACAUUAACACUGAUAAUGAUGUGCAGGCUCAGGUUCAACCAAUAGUGGGUACAAUUCCCGUUAGUACCAUCACUGAUGAUGAUGUGCGGGCUCAUGUCGAGCCAACUGUCGAUACACUUAAGAUUGGUGCUCUCCAGGUUCCUGUUCGGGAUCGAUGGCAGACGAAUACCCUGGUGUACUCUCGGCGGCAACCACAAGUGCAGGGGGAGCAGCAAGGCAGGGAGGCAAGAGUGCAGGGGGAGCAGCAAGGCAGGGAGGCAAGAGUGCAGGGGGAGCAGCAAGGCAGUGAGGCAAGAGUGCAGGGGGAGCAGCAAGGCAGUGAGGCAAGCUCAUCUGACACAGUGGAGCUGCCCAUUGCGUUGCGAAAACCUACACGUGAAGCGGCAAGAAAGGGUGAGGUAGCAAGGAAGGCUCUGCCAAAGGAUGAUGCUUGUGAUGACCUUGAUAUUGGCAAUUUUGUGUCUUACAAGGCUUUGUCACCUUCAUAUAAGGCGUUUGUUGCCUCUUUGCAAACUGUGUCUAUCCCUAGGGAUUGGAAGGCUGCAAAGCAAGAUCCAAAGUGGCGUGAAUCGAUGAUAGAGGAGUUAGAAGCAUUGAAAAAAAACAAGACAUGGGUGCUAACCACAUUGCCGGCAGGAAAGAAAGCAGUGAGUUGUAAGUGGAUUUUUACUGUGAAGCAGAAUCCUGAGGGCAAGGUGGAACGGUAUAAGGCUAGAUUGGUUGCCAGAGGAUAUAGUCAAACUUAUGGAAUUGACUAUGAUGAGACAUUUGCUCCAGUUGCAAAGAUGAACACGGUACGGGUAUUGGUCUCGUGUGCUGCAAACUUUGGGUGGAAAUUGCACCAGUUAGAUGUCAAGAAUGCCUUCUUACAUGGUGACUUGAAAGAAGAGGUAUACAUGGAGAUACCGCCAGGUUUUGGCACAGAACAGACUACGGGGAAGGUAUGCAGGCUGAAGAAAUCCUUGUAUGGUCUGAAGCAAUCGCCGAGGGCAUGGUUUGAUAGGUUCAGACGAGCUGUUUGGAAUAUGGGGUAUGGCCAAUGUAAUGGUGACCACACGGUGUUUUAUAGACACACUAAUAAGAAGAUCACCAUUGUUGCAGUGUAUGUUGAUGAUAUCAUCAUCACUGGAGAUGAUGAGGAGGAAAUAAAGAGAGUGAAGGGGUGUCUGAGCAAGGAGUUUGAGGUAAAAGACUUAGGAAAUCUAAAGUACUUCCUUGGCAUAGAAGUGGCCCGGACAGAGAAGGGAAUAUCUUUGUGCCAACGAAAAUACACCUUGGAUCUUUUGAGUGACAUGGGCAUGAUGGGAUGUCGUGCAGCCCCUACUCCAAUUGAACAAAAUCAUCAAGUAACAGCACAAUCAGGUGAGCUAGUGAAUAAGGAAGAUUAUCAGAAGCUGGUUGGGAGGUUAUUGUACUUGUGUCAUACCAGGCCUGACAUUACGUAUGCCGUGGGGGUGGUGAGCAGAUACAUGCAUGAACCAAGGAGAGGGCAUCUUGAUAUUGUUCACAGAAUCCUGAGAUACUUGAAGGGGACUCCGGGUAAAGGGUUGUGGUUUGCGAAGAGUGGACAUCUUGAGGUGGAUGGCUAUAGUGACUCUGAUUGGGCUAGCUGUCAAGAUGAUAGACGAUCAACUUCAGGUUACUGUGUGUUUGUGGGAGGAAAUUUGGUGUCAUGGAGAAGCAAGAAACAGAAUGUUGUGUCUAGAUCAACAGCAGAAGCUGAAUAUAGAGCAUUAUCUCAAGGGUUGUGUGAUAUGCUCUGGGUGAAGCACCUACUAUGCGAGUUGAAACUCUUGAGGAAGGGACCCUUAAGGGUGUGGUGUGACAAUCAGUCAGCUAUAGCCAUUGCUAAUAACCCAGUUCAACAUGAUAGGACGAAGCAUGUGGAAAUUGAUCGCUUCUUCAUUAAAGAGAAACUUGAUGCUGGGAUCAUCAGCCUUACUCAUGUCAGCUCUGGGCAGCAGUUUGCAGAUUGCUUGACAAAGGGACUGGGAACAAAGGACUGUAACUUGGCGUGUGACAAGAUGGGAGUGUUGAACCGGUAUGGGCCCUAG
rnacentral:rRNA from 1 species